CACGUCUUAGUGCACACAUCAAGCAGAUUUGUAGGAGCUAAUCGUCUCCUUCCUUUGCCCCCUUACCUCCGCUCAUCUGUCGCCAACGCCGUCCCUCCUCCCUCGUCUUGCACGCCCACGUCUGCAAUGAAAAGCAGCGCCUCAACGAAGCCGGGCGGCACGCCUUCGACGUCUCGCACCGCACAUCCUCCAAGGGCCAACACCAGCGGCAACGCGGGCACUAGCGGGAAGCGGCCCCAGGGGCCCCGCACACCCGUGCACGCGAAGGGCAAGACCGAAAGAAGAGGCGCGGCGGCCCAGGCCAAGGAGUCCGAAAAGGUCACGCACACGGUCAUUAUCACAAACGUUGAGAACGAUUUUGGCAAGUUGCACAGAGCCUGCCUGCCCUACUAUUGCAGCCUGCGCAGCGACUACGAGGAAACGCUGGAUGUGGAGCGGCUUGUUCACGAGGGCGGGCCGCAGUCGCGGCGCCUGAUCGGCGCGGUGCGUGGCUGCAGCUACGCUGUCCGCUGCCGCACCGAGACCCGCUCCGCGGAGAUCAGCCUCUACGGGCCGGCCAACGCCGACUUCGCACCCAUGAAGCUAACCAAAACCUCUCGGCGGCCGUCAACGCCGGCGGCAGACUCCAAGUCAACGGCGGCGCCGACGGCCUCCUCGUCAGCGAAGCUGGCAGAAAAAGACACGACUGCGCCAGCCGAGGACGUCUCGGAGGCGACGGCGUUGGCCAACGUUGGCGCAGUCGAGCAGCUGGCCCUGCGGCUGCGCCGGCAGCACUACUUCGAGGAGCACCUGCCCGUGAGCGUGCACUUGCCUGGGCGACAAGCAGACGAAGUGCUGCUGCGCAUCGAUAAAGGUUCUGCGCCUGGCGGCGCGGGCGGCACCGAUGUCACUGGUGUUAAGAGCGAGGAGGCUAAUGGGGUCGCAGAAGACGCCGACGCGGACAGGCGAGGCAGCGCCGCCACUCUAGCGACGGCGCCUGCUUCCCGUAAGAAGCGGCAGCGCGUCGACGAAGAGGACCGCAACGCCGGCGCCCCGUCUCUGCAGCGAGUCAAGACGGAGGCGCCAGAUGGCGACGAGGAGGGCAUGGAAGAGGAUGGCGCCACGGCACACGAGCGUGGUAAGACGACGGAGGACGGCGUUGAUCAAGAAGCCGACAACGGUGGCAGGCGUUCCAGGCGGCUGACAAAGUCGAAGUCGGCCACGAUCAUCAAGCAGUUCCCGCGCCGCCAGAAGGACUUUGUGACGGCGGUGGCGGCGCUCUCGUCCCGGGUACCGCUGCAGCGCGUGCGCGGUCGUCUGCGCGACCUUCCCGGCUUCCUGUCCUGCUGGUCUCUCUAUGAGCGGCACCUCCGCGUUGUUUUCCUCGACGCCGAGUCGCUCUUCAAGGCGAAGCAACUGCUGGACCAGUUCGAGUUGGAGCCUGGUCUGCGUGUGUCGCUCAUCUUCUCCGACCCGCUCUCCCGCACUAACGCCGAGUAUGUGCGCACGCAGGAGAACGAGAGCGUGAACGAGUAACAUACGAGUCAGCAGCGUUGCCUCCUCAUCGACUCGCAUGUGGUUUGGUGCACCCUGAGCGUGCGUACGUGUGAGGGUGGGAAGGUCUGCCUUCUGGUAUGUUGAUGUGUGUACGGCAUGGAUGAUUCGACCCGGUUAACUCAAUAACGGCGUAUGGGUCGAGUGUGCGUGCGUGCGUGUGCUGCAUUCUCGCAUCCUCUUUCUGUUCAUGGCACGUUGCGUGCCGGAGUGGUGUCGACCACUGUGUACUUCGCAGUAGUAGCAGCCGUUGCGCGCUGCGGAAGACGUGCGCACAUCCUCGAUCGGUACCCACAUAAGACCCAACGCUGCAGCGAAAACGAAACGAAAA
rnacentral:misc_RNA from 1 species